rnacentral:rRNA from 1 species
AGCAGCCGCGGUAAUUCCAGCUCCAAUAGCGUAUAUUAAAGUUGCUGCAGUUAAAAAGCUCGUAGUUGAAUUUCAGGAUCGAUUUACUGGUCGUGCCUUUGGUACGUACUGGUUUUGUUGGUUCUUCCUUUCCGAGGAGCCGCGAUGUCAUUAAUUUGGUGUCGCGGGGAAUCGGGACUGUUACUUUGAAAAAAUUAGAGUGUUUAAAGCAGGCUAACGCUUGAAUACAUUAGCAUGGAAUAAUGAAAUAGGACGAUUGAUCCUAUUUUGUUGGUUUAUAGGAUCGACGUAAUGAUUAAUAGGGAUAGUUGGGGGUAUUAGUAUUCAAUUGUCAGAGGUGAAAUUCUUGGAUUUAUUGAAGACUAACUACUGCGAAAGCAUUUACCAAGGAUGUUUUCAUUAAUCAAGAACGAAAGUUAGGGGAUCGAAGACGAUCAGAUACCGUCGUAGUCUUAACCAUAAACUAUGCCGACUAGGGAUCGGAUGAUAAUUUUUUAAUAACUCAUUCGGCGCCUUACGG